CCUCUUUAGCUCAGCGGUAGAGCGGUUGACUGUUAAUCAAUUGGUCCCUGGUUCGAUCCCAGGAAGGGGAGU
rnacentral:tRNA from 1 species